CCUACGGGUGGCAGCAGUGAGGAAUAUUGGUCAAUGGGCGCGAGCCUGAACCAGCCAAGUCGCGUGAGGGAAGACGGUCCUAUGGAUUGUAAACCUCUUUUGUCGGGGAGCAAAAGACGCCACGCGUGGCGUUCCGAGAGUACCCGAAGAAAAAGCAUCGGCUAACUCCGUUCUAGCAGCCGCGGUAAUACGGAGGAUGCGAGCGUUAUCCGGGUUUAUUGGGUUUAAAGGGUGCGCAGGCGGAAGAUCAAGUCAGCGGUAAAAUUGAGGGGCUCAACCUCGUCGAGCCGUUGAAACUGGUGUUCUUGAGUGGGCGAGAAGUAUGCGGAAUGCGUGGUGUAGCGGUGAAAUGCAUAGAUAUCACGCAGAACUCCGAUUGCGAAGGCAGCAUACCGGCGCUCAACUGACGCUCAUGCACGAAAGUGUGGGUAUCGAACAGGAUUAGAUACCCGGGUAGUC
rnacentral:rRNA from 1 species